rnacentral:lncRNA from 1 species
UCGAUUUUUUUAAAAAAUCGAAAAUCUAACUGAAAAAUCAAAAUUUUAAAAUUCCAAACCGAAUCCGAUCCAAAAAAUCAAAAAAUCAAAAUCAAAAUUAAAUUUCGGUUUGAUUUUUUGACUUUUUUGAUUUAAACCAAAAUAUGCCCACCCCUACCUACUAUGUUAGAAGAUCGAGAUACCUAUGGUAGUAUAGAAGUUAAAAGAGCAUCACAGUGGUGCAGUAGCCUUAGGCUACAACAUGUUUUUCGGGUACAUAAAAUCUGUAUUUUCGCAAUACUACUUCAACACAAGUUCAAUAAUAAAUCAAGAACACUUAUGAAGUUGUCCAACACCUUCAACACAAGAUCAAAAUAAUCUUUCAAAGAAGUAUAUUUUCAGUUUCUUAAAGAAAAAUAGAUGAAGUAGAAAAAAGCCAAAUCCUCUGAAUUCACGGAGUGUCCUCAAGGAAAUAAUUCUCCUCAAGUACCCGAGGUUGCAGAAUUUUCCUCCCAGGAUAAAAUGACUUCACAACCAAAAUGUAGCGGUACCUCAAACUUUCUGGUUUACUUCGUACUUACUCAAUUGGAGAUGAUCACACGGAGUUUUUAGAAGCAAGAGAAUAUUUUUCUUAUGAAGAAAUUUUUCAUACUAAACCUAUGGAAAAAAUGCAGGUUAUAUAGUCAUAAAGUAUCCCUUCCGAACGGUGGCAACGGUUCAUCCGAAAAGGUUUAUCCUUUGGAAAAGUCAUGUCUGUUCAUUCGAAACAUUGUGUAUUUUUUCUGAACAGACACAACUAUCCGAACAGUCACUCCUUUUCUAAAAUAACGUGUCUUUUACUCAAAGGGUUGUGUCCCAUCACUUUCCAUUCACACCAAUUGAACCCAACAAUAACCCACAUGAAUGGGGAAUGACUAUUCUUUGUAAAACUUUACGGAUAAUUAUGUGAUCAUCAAGCAAAGACUGAUUGCAUCUGGAUAUAUAAGUGGGUUUUUAUUUGAACUUCCCGUAGUGAACAUGCAUCGGAUGCAAUCGGUCAAUCAGUACAUUUGAUAUCUUUGAACCGUCGAGCUUUAAUGUACACCUAGACAACUUAUGUCACACAACCAGUCUUUUACCAUUUAUGGUUCUCACAGUUUUAUUCGUUUGAGCCAUGGACACGUCUCGGUCUCAUGAGAGGUUAGAGAAUAGGUCUUUACUAACAUUCUCCUUGAAGCGGCUUCGACUUCACCCUCACAUAGGUGAUUUCUAAAUGUACAAUCCUGUAGAUUAAACUAUUUGAUCAAAUCUGUCAAAUUUAGAUAAUCAUUAAAAGACUUCACACCAUAAGUCUUAUCCUUGUUUACUAAACAUUGUCUACAUCAUGAGAAUGAGUUGAGUAUAUUGACAAUGUUGAACCUGUCAGACACAACUUUGUUUGAUCUCCUUGAACCUAGCUUUUGGGAUCUCCAGUCUUCUAGGUAGAGUCACCGCCAUUCUGACUUGUCCUAGACCGUAAAUCCAUUCCCUUGGAUGUCCUCUCAACUCUUUCUCUGGACAGGCCUUUUGUAAGUGGAUUUGAUACAUUAUCCUUUGACUUUACACAGUCAACAGUGAUAAUUCCACUAGAGAGAAGUUUUCUAACGGUAUUAUGUCUCCAUCUUAUAUGACGAGAUUUACCGUUGUACAUCAUGCUCCCUGCCCUACUUAUUGUAGUAUAUACAUAUUGAUGCCACUGGUUUGAGCCAAUAAGGAAUAUCUUUCAAGAAAUUUCGGAGUCAUUCUGCUUCUUCACCAGCUUUAUCUAAUGUGAUAAAUUCUAAUUCCAUUGUAGAGCAAGCAAUACAUGUCUGUUUGGAUGAUUUUCAAGAGACCGCUCCUCCACUGAUAAUAAAUACAUAUCCACUCGUGAAUUUUACUUCAUUCGAUCUGGUGAUCCAAUUUUCAUCACUAUAUUCUUAAGUACCGCGGAAUAUUUAUUAUAAUGCAAAGCAUAGUCUUGAGUGUAUUUAAGAUACCCCAAAACUCUUUUCAUUGCCAUCCAAUGAGUUUUAUUAGGAUUACUCGUGUACCGACUCAACUUACUAUUAACACAUGCUAUAUCUGGUCGUGUACAAUUCAUGAUAUACAUUAAACAUCCCAACACUCUUGCGUACUCCAACUGUGAGUCACUUUCACCUUCAUUCUUUUGAAGUGCAAAGCUCCCAUCCAAUGGAGUCUUGACAAUACCAAAUUCCAAAUACUUAAAUUUUUCAAGUACCCUUUUAGUGUAAUGAGACUGUGACAAUGCCAACUCUUGGGGAGUUCUAUGGAUUCUUAUUCCUAAUAUCACAUCCGCAACUCCAAGGUCUUUCAUAUCAAACUUGCUCUCGAGCAGUCGUUUCGUAGCAUUUAUGUCAGAAAUGUCUCUACUGAUGAUCAACAUGUCAUGAACAUACAAAUAAACAAUGACUUGGUGAUUUAAAGUGUCUUUGAUGUUAACACAUUUAUCACAUUCAUUUAUCUUGAAUCCGUUUGCCAACAUAGUUUGGUCAAACUUCGCAUGCCAUUUUCUAGGUGCUUGUUUUACUCCAUAAGGUGACUUAACAAGUUUACACACCUUAUUUUUUUUUCUGGAACCACAAAACCCUCAGAAUGUUUUAUGUACAUUUCUUCCUCCAAUUCUCCAUUUAGGAAUGUUAUUUUCACAUCCAUUUGAUGAAUUUCAAGACCAUAUACUGCCACCAAGGCAAUUAACAUCCAAAUUGACGUUAUCCUCGUUACUGGCGAGUAUGUAUCAAAAUAAUCAAGGCCUUCCUUCUGUUUAAAGCCUUUUACAACAAGUCUUGCCUUGUAUUUGUCAAUAGUACAAUAGGCUUUCAUUUUCCUUUUGAAGAUCCAUUUAGAACCUAAAGGUUUAUUUCCUGGAGGAAGAUCAACCAAGUCCCACGUAUGGUUGCUUAAGAUUGAAUCAAUCUCACUAUUGACUGCCUCUUUCCAAAAGGAUGAGUUUGAAGGCGCCAUCGCUUCUUUAAAUGUUUGAGGCUCAUUUUCUAAGAGAAAUGUUACAAAAUUCGAUCCAAAUGAACGUGCCAUUCUUUGACGUGUACUAUGUCUUGGAUUCUCAUUAUUAUGUACAUCCUCACUUGGUUUAUUUCAAGGUCGUUUAGACCCGUCACUAGACUGUUCAUGUCUAGUUUUAUACGAAUAAAUGUGUUCAAAGAAUUCAACAUUAUUUGAUUCAAUUACCAUAUUUUCAUUGAUAUCCGAAUGCUCGAAUUUAUGAACCAAAAACCAACAUGCUUUACUACUUUUAGCAUAUCCUAUGAACACGCAGUCCACCGUCUUAGGUCCUAUCUUUACUCUUUUAGGCAUAAGAACUUGGACCUUCGCCAGACACCCCCACACUUUGAAAUAUUUCAAGUUGAGUUUCCUUCCUUUAAAUUUUUCAUAUGGAAUUGAUUGUGUCUUAUUAUGGGGCACUCUAUUGAGUAUUCAGUUAGCUGUAAGANNNNNNNNNNNNNNUACAAGUUUUGCGGUAAACCUGAACUUAUUAGCAAGACAUUCAUCAUUUCCUUCAAGGUUCGAUUUUUCCUUUCCACAAUACCAUUAGACUGAGGUGAAUAUGGGGCCGUAGUUUGAUGGACAAUUCUAUUCUCUACACAUAUUUGCGCAAAGGAAGAUUCAUAUUCUCCGCCUUUAUCACUUCUUAUCAUUUUGAUCUUUUUCUCUAACUGAUUUUCAACUUCUAUUUUAUAUUGGCUAAACGCAUCUAUUGCUUCAUCUUUUCUGUUUAGCAAAUAGACAUAACAGUAUCUAGUGCAAUCGUCAAUAAAAGUUAUAAAACACUUUUUUCCACCACGAGAUGAUGUUGACUUCAUAUCACAGAUGUCUAUAUGGAUUAAGUCUAAGGGAUUUGAAUUCCUUUCAACGGAUUUAUACGGAAGCUUAGCAUACUUUGAUUCCACACAUAUUUGAUAUUUUUAUUUAUUACACUCAAAGUUUGGUAAAACUUUUAAAUUAGACAGUUUUUUUUUUUGCAAGGUUUUGUAGUUGAUAUGUCCUAAAGGACUAUGCCAUAAAUCGUUUGACUCUAGCAAGUAAAAAGAAGCCUCAACUUUAUUCAUUUUAACAACCAUUACAUAAAGUUUGAAAAGACCCCUAUUGAGGUAGCCCUUUCCUACAUAUGUUUCAUUCUUGCUUAUUACAACUUUCUCCAAAACAAACACAUACUUAAACCCAUUUUUAAUGAGAAGUGUUGUUGACACUAAGCUUUUUCCUAAUAGUAGGAACAUGGAGAACAUUGUUGAGAGUCAACACCUUGCCAGAAGUCACUUUUAGGAACAUCUCCCCACUUCCUUCAACCUUGGUUGUUGUAUUAUUUUUCAUAAAGAUCACUUUUUUGGGACUAACGGAAUCAUAAGUAGCAAAAGCUUCUUUGUCCGCUCAAACAUGUCUAGUGGCUCCUAAACUAAACCACCAUUCAUUUGGAUAUCCAACUAGAUUGGUUUCAGUGAUCCUAUCACAUAGAUUUUCAAUCUUACUAGUUAUCUCCAACAUGUUUAUCUAAUCUCUUUUCUUGUCCAGAAGACUUCUUUAUCUUCUCAUUAUUUGGAGCAUCAUCCUUAACAGGAUUUGUAAUCAUCAUUGAUGAUUUUUUUCAUUCAACUCAUUAUCCUCGUUUAUCUUGAAAUGACUCAUAAGAUUUUUCAAAUCAUACAAUUGAUUUUCAAUCAUUAUUUUUUUUUUAAGAAUAUGAGGAUCUAUACUUGUGAACAUUUGCAUUGCAAGUUUGGCCAGUCAAAAUGACAUCAUUUGCUGUCAUUCUUUGAAGUUCACACUAAAAUAUUUUUCUAUUUCUCUGUUGUUUUCAUUGCUAGAGCAAUACCUGAACGACUUAAUGACGCAACAUUGAUGGUUAUUGGGACAACACCAUUCACAACCAAAUCAAUUUAUUAUUCAGUUUCGUUCGUCAUUUUCUUGUCAAUCUUUGACAUACUCUUUAGUAUUUCAAAAUACUAACAAUAAAGAUUUAAUCUUUAGCCAACUUGUUUCUAGUCAAUGAUGAAGUUUUUAUAUCUUCAAAUCAUCAACCGAAUGAACUAUGAAACAUGACGAAGUUUUUAUGACUUCAAAUUAUAAUCAAAUUCAAAUAGAGUGAAAUCCCACAUAUUUUAAACUCCAGAAAUCAAUACAGAGAUCUUAAUGAAUCCGUGAAGUUUUAUAUUCUUCGAACCAAAUUCUCAUACUGAUUUCUUGAUGAAAUUUUUAUAGUCUUCUAAUCGAGGGAAUAGAAAUCAAAAGAUUUUAGUCUCCACAAAAUCAGACACAAUACAGAUUAACCAAAUACUUGAUUUAUAAAUGGCGAUAAUUUUUUUUUUCACCAAACAAGCACAAAAAUAAAUAUUUUUAUACUUUCCUUAAUGUUGUUGUUUUUCUCAAUUUUGAUAAAAUAUGUAUUUUUCAAUAAUAACUUCAAACAUUUAUUUCCUUAAGAUUGUUGUUUUUCUCAAUUUUGAUAAAAUAUGUAUUUUUCAAUAAUAACUUCAAACAUUUAUUUCCUUAAGAUUGUUAUUUUUCAGGUACACAAAAUAUGUAUUUUCGCAAUACUACUUCAACACAAUAGUUCAAGAAUAAAUCAAGAACACUUAUGAAGUUGUCCAACACCUUCAACACAAGAUCAAAAUGAUCUUUCAAAGAAGUAUGUUUUCAGUUUCUUAAAGAAAAAUAGAUGAAGCAAAAAAAAGUCAAGUUCUCCGAAUUCACGGAGUGUCCUUAAGGAAAUAAUUUUCCUCAACUACCUGAGGUUGCAGAAUUUUCCUCCUAAGAUAAAAUGGCUUCACAACCAGAAUGUAGCGGUUCCUCAAACUUUCUGGUUUUCUUCGAACUCACUCAACGGGAGAUGAUCACACAAGUUUUUAGAAGCAAGAGUAUUUUUCUUAUGCAGAAAUAUUUCAUACUAAAUCUGUGGAAAAAAUGCAGGUUUAUAUAGCCAUAAAGUGCCCCUUUCGAAAGGUGGCAAUGGUUCAUCCGAAAAGGUGUAUCCUUUGGAAGAGUCAUGUCUGUUCAUUCAAAAUAUUGUGUUUUUUUUCUGAACAGAUACAACUAUUCGAACAGUUACUCCUUUUCCAAAACAAUGUGUUUUUUCCUCAAAGGGUUGUGUCCCUCCAUUUUCCAUUCACACCAAUUGAACCCAACACAACACAUAUCCAGUAUAGUACCACAAGUGGAGUCUGGGACGAUAAGGUUCAUCCGAAAAGGUGUAUCCUUUGGAAGAGUCAUGUCUGUUCAUUCAAAAUAUUGUGUUUUUUUCUGAACAGACACAACUAUCCGAAUAGUUACUCCUUUUCCAAAACAAUGUG